UGGCUCAGUUGGUAGAGCAUGCGACUCUUGAUCGCAGGGCUGUGAGUUCGAGCCCAC
rnacentral:tRNA from 1 species